GUGUAUUAGUGCUGGUAUGAUCGCAUACGUUAGUAUAUGCAAUGCAAUCGUAUAUAUUCUUUUUUGAAGACUUGAUGAACCAUUCGUCGUGGGUCGCACCCGCUAUGUAGGAUACCCCAUCUAGUCUUAACGAGCUUUGAAGCAUGAAAAA
rnacentral:sRNA from 1 species